CAAGGUUUUCAGCUUUAUCACAAUCAAAUUCACUCAAUCUAAUUCUCCAUAGAAAGAUAAUAAGAGAACUUCCGAUCAUUCACGGUUUCAGUGAAACUAAAAGCAUAUCCAAAUUUUGAAAUUUCACAGCAAGUCCACACAGAGCAUUCUUAUCUUAUCAAAGAUUUGCAAGUUAAGAAAAAGAUGACCAUCUCAUUUCUCAGAAACCUUCCUCCUAGACAAACCACUUAGCAAAAG
rnacentral:misc_RNA from 1 species